rnacentral:lncRNA from 1 species
CAAAUGGAUUUUUUCCCAACAUAACAUUUGUUCCUUACACCAAGACCUUUCCAACCAUUACUCACAUGCUCAUGUUUGGAUUUGGAAAAUGGCAUUUUCGAAGAGGAGAAGUUUUAGGCAUAAUUGUGCAUAACAUGUUGAUCCAAGACCUUUCCAACCAUUACUCACAUGCUCAUGUUUGGAUUUGGAAAAUGGCAUUUUCGAAGAGGAGAAGUU